rnacentral:rRNA from 1 species
AUACGGAGGAUCCGAGCGUUAUCCGGAUUUAUUGGGUUUAAAGGGUGCGCAGGCGGCCAUUUAAGUCCGCGGUUAAAUCGUGGGGCUCAACCCCAUUCUGCCGUUGAUACUGGGUGGCUUGAUUGCGGUCGAGGUUGGCGGAAUUCGUUGUGUAGCGGUGAAAUGCAUAGAUAUGACGAAGAACACCGAUUGCGUAGGCAGCUGACCAGACCGCAAAUGACGCUCAUGCACGAAAGUGCGGGGAUCGAACAGGAUUAGAUACCCUGGUAGUCCGCACAGUAAACGAUGAAUACUUGUUUUCGGCGAUAUAAUGUCGGAGGCAAAGCGAAAGCGAUAAGUAUUCCACCUGGGGAGUACGCCGGCAACGGUGAAACUCAAAUGAAUUGGCGGGG